UACGUAGGCAGCGAGCGUUGUUCGGAGUUACUGGGCGUAAAGCGUGCGUAGGCGGUUUUCUAAGUCUGGUGUGAAAUCUCCCGGCUCAACUGGGAGGGUGCGCCGGAUACUGGGAGGCUGGAGUAUGGGAGAGGUAGGCGGAAUUCCUGGUGUAGCGGUGAAAUGCGUAGAUAUCAGGAGGAACACCUGUGGUGUAGACGGCCUGCUGGACCAUGACUGACGCUGAGGCACGAAAGCGUGGGGAGCAAACAGGAUUAGAUACCCCCGUAGUCC
rnacentral:rRNA from 1 species